rnacentral:lncRNA from 1 species
UAAUAAUUCAGUUCCUAAGGUUUAAGAAUUAAUUAAUUCGGGCCAUUAAAGUUCUGAAUUUUAUAAUUAAAGCCCUCAAACUUUAAUUAUUAAUUCAAAUUGGCCCCCAAGUUUAUAAUUAAUUCAAAUCGACCUCCAAAGUUUCAAAUUUUCAAAAUUUGAUCCCUAAAGUUUUGAAUUGAUCAAUUUAAGGCCCUUAAAGUUUUAAAUUUGUUCUAAUUGAUCCUCCAGAGUUUUGAAUUAAUUAAUUAUGGUCCCUAAAGUUUCAAGUUUAUAAUUUCAACCCCUAAAGUUUGGAAUUAAUUAAUUUUGCCCCCCUAAAGUUUUGAAUUAUUAAUCCUAAGGCCCCUAAAGUUUAAAACUAAACAAAAUAUGUAAAAUUGGUGAUUAUCUUUCUCAAAUUUUGGUACUAAGGACUCUUUUAAGAUAUGUAAUAUUCGAAAGUUGGUUAAUUGGAGCAACAUGUUGGCAAAGCAACCUCUCUUAUGGAAAUUAACUAACUUAGAAUAUUAAAAGAUGUUUUUGCAUGUGUUAUUCAUAAGAAUAUUAGUCGGCCCAAAGGAAGGUCAAUAUUUAGCCGAAUACACAUGCAUCUGUGGUGAUAAACGUGUGACGAUUAUUUGAUUUAAUGUGUUCAAUAAAUCGGUCCAAAGAAUGGUUUGUUGAUUGAUACAUUGUUUUACCGUCAAUGUUUGAUCACUAUGCCAAGAGUAACGCUUACAAGUCAAUAUCUCUAUCCAAAGACUAGAUAUUGAUGUUGUGCUUGGUAUCUUGUGAUGGGUCCCACCACUAUUUGAAAUUAUUAUUAUUUGCAUAUUAAAGAUAUUCAUGUGAGCUAUUCAUAAUAAUCGUUCUCUAAUUCAGUUUCAAGUUUUGGUGCUAAUAUCUCUGCUAGCAUCAAUUCAAUUCCAAUGUUACAUGGCACAAACAUCAGGGCAUGGCAAGAGAACGUGAUGAUUGUUCUCGGAGUCAUAAACCUAGACCUCGUUUUACGGGUCGAUCAAUCCGCUGCACUUACUCAUAAGAGUACCUCUGAUGAUAUGAUGGAGAUGAAAAAAUGAGAACGAUCGAACCGCAUAAGCUUAAUGGUCAUGAAGUGUGCUAUUCCAGAAGCAUUCCAGGGCACUAUGUUCGAUAAGGUGAUUAUGGCUAAGGGUUUCCUUGAGGAUAUUGAGAAGAGGUUUGUCAAGAAUGAAAAGGCUGAAAUAAGUACACUUUUGACGAACCUUGUCUCUAUGAGGUAUAAAGAGAAAGGAAACAUUUGGGAGUACAUUAUGGAAAUGUCUUACAUUGCUUCAAAACUAAAGGUACUCAAGUUGGAUUUAUCUGAAGACUUGUUGGUGCACUUGGUUCUGAUAUCUCUUCCGGCACAAUUCAGUUAAUUCAAGGUGAGCUACAAUUUUCAAAAGGACUCAUGGUCCCUCAAUGACCUCAUCUCACACUGUAUCCAAAAAGAGGAAAGAUUGAAGUAUGAGAAGACAGAAAGUGCUCAUUUAGCCACCACGUCUAAGGACAAAAGGAACAAGAAAAUGAAUAUUAAGAAGGAAGCUGCGGGUACAGCACCGCAAAAACAACAUAAGGAACCAACUGAAGGUGGCUGUUUCUUCUGUCGAGCUGCAGGUCAUAAGAAGAAGAAUUGCACCAAUUACCAUGCAUGGCAUGUAAAGAAAGGUAUUAUUUUUCAUCUAGUUUGUUUUGAGGUUAAUUUAACUUCGGUACCUAGACAUACAUGGUAGAUAGAUUCUGGUGCAACAACUCACAUCAGUAUGUUUAUGUAGGGUUGCCUGAGUUGUCGAAAAACAAGUGAUGGUAAAAGAUACAUCUAUGUUGGCGACGACAAAAAGAUGGAAGUAGAGGCAAUAGGAAAAUUUGGAUUAUUGUUAAAAAUUGGAUUUUAUUUGGAUCUUGUUGAGACAUUUAUUGUAU